GUGUUUGCUUCGGCAACACGUGUGCUAAAAUUGGAAUGAUACAGAGAAGAUUAGCAUGGCCCCUGAGCAAGGAUGACACGCAAAUUCAUAAAGCAUACCAUAUUAAA
rnacentral:snRNA from 1 species